rnacentral:rRNA from 1 species
AAGUCGUAACAAGGUUUCCGUAGGUGAACCUGCGGAAGGAUCAUUACAAAUCUUUUGCGAGUGUGCGUGCUUAACUGUGCGUCACAUCUCACAACAUUAGCACAAGGUCGCAAGGCCUUGAUGUUUACGCUUGUUUGUUUGACAGAGUUAGUUGAGAAAUAAAAAAGACAACUUUUAACAAUGGAUCUCUUGGCUCUUGCAACGAUGAAGAACGCAGUAAAGUGCGAUAUGUAGUGCGAUUUGCAUGAAUCUGUGAGUCAUCUAAUCUUUGAACGCAACUUGCGCCUCUUACGAGGCAUGUCUGUUUGAGUGCCGUAAUCCUCUGCAGCAAUGCGAUUUGACUCUUGUCUUUGUUGACUGAGUUUAAAGGGAGCUAGAGGAUGGUCAGUUUAGACUAGCCCGAGUGCUAAGCAUUCUUGGGUCUAGCGCUGGAUUGCUCAUUUCAUCUAUCUUUUAUUUUGGCCUCAAAUCAGGCAAGACUACCCGCUGAACUUAA